AGUGAAGAGAAUGUACUGCGAUGGCUAGCUGCUCAAGUUGACACCUCCAAGAAUUCCUGACCGAAAUGAUUAGUGGCAUAGAGACCCGGCUCUUUGAAGGAGAGGAUGGUAAAGGAAAAAUGCCAAAGUACUCGUUAAAUGACCUUGACAAUGGCCUGUUUCGAGUUGCUGGGGAAAUCUUUGCCGUAAGUCUCGCGCAAGGUGGUCCAGCUCCACGAUUUCUACAGGAGUGGUGUUACAAUAACCUCUUAAGUGGAAACCUUGAAAACAUCACGAUGG